CUGCUUAGGCUAUCCACGUCCUUUUUUAGAAUGGGGCAAAUGAUGACACGUGUAGAUCCGGUAGUGGAUAGGUGUUUGUCAUGUGUUCUCUUUCCCAUUAAUUUUCACUUUUAAUCUGACCAUUAACAUCUUCAUCCCACUCGCCGUACCAUUAAUUCGAGCUCAGCCUCUUCACAGGAACCGUCAACGUACUAGCAAUUUUUUUCUUCGUUUCUACUGCUUCAGAUUCUCUCAACUCCUAAUAUCAUCAAAAAUUUCAAUGAUUUGAUCUCUCUGGCAGAGAAAAAAGGAGUACGGGGAUCCAAAGGGAAGGAAAUCUAAACCUGACCAGCUCUUAUAGAAAGAGGAUGUAGCUCGCCUCCAACCUAUGAAGAUUUGGACAAUUCUGAGGCUGAGGACAGUUUCAAGGCAAUUUUUGUUUACCUAUCAUCUUGGUAAGAGACCGAUACCAAGAUCUUAUAAAUGUAAAGUACAGAACUUUCUCAGCUGUUGUGGGACCCUUAGUCAUCGUUGAAAAAGUGAAGGUUUUUGAAAAAAUUGGCACCGUUCAAUCCACUGGAGAGGUAUUUACUAUGAAAGUCUCUUCUUUUAAACACUUAUAAUGUUUUGUUUAACCUUCGAUUUUUCUGGUGAGUGUUGAUUGUGUUCAUUGUCUGAUCUCUAAAACAAAACAAAAAAGUUGUUGUUGUUUUGAGUUGUGUCGGUAAUACUUAUAGGAAGCUGAAUCAACCUCAGUGAAAGAACUUACCCUGAAGAAAUGAUUUUUUACCAUUGAUGUCAUGAACUUAUACUGUUCCUUGAAGAUAUGCAUGAGACCAUUCAUGAAGACAUCAAUAUCUGUAUAGUCGGGGAUACCAGCUGUGAUAAAUCCACAUUCCUAAGGCAUAUUGCCAAGGUCAGUGUAUACAUCUAGGAAGUCUUCUUCUGCAGCUGCGUUGACUGCAACUGUGGCUAAAUGUAAAGUACAGAACUAUCUCAGCUGAAACUGGCUGGUGCUUUGAUGCUUGAUAAUAGAUUAGGUUGCGUUCACGAGUUUGACAACCUGAAUAUCAAAAACCAGGCUGCUAUUCGAGAAGCCAUGGAGCAGCCACAAUAACCACCUUUCUGUGCGUAGAUCCGUCUACUCUCCAUGCUCGAGGAAUAUAACUUAUCAGGCAGUCAAGAGAGGAAGAACACCGAGACCUAUGGGUGUGUACUUAUCUUCAUUCCAUCAGAAAGUUUUGGCCAAUAUAAUAUUUUCAAGCUAUAGGUUUCUGCAUGUUAAAAGAUCUGAUGAAGCUCCAGGAAACAGCUCAUAGCAGAAUGCACCAAUCAAAGACUUUCCUGGAAUGUCAACUGGUGCAGGUGGUGCUGCAACCAACGAAGACUUUCCUUGAGAGCCAGAAUACACCAGAUUCUUAAACCUAACAAGAAAGCCAAUCAGCGCUAGAUAGUGGACCUAUACCAACCGCAUCUCAAUGGAUCCUUCAGCAGAGGACUUGAAAUUGUUGGCGUACAAGUUUAAGAGCAAUCUGUUAAUAAACCAGUAUAAUUUCAGAUUGCUUGGCAUCCAAGUUAAAAAGUUUUGUACUAUAUUUAGCGAACUUACCUUACGAAAAAAAAAUUCAAUCUGCUUCUGGAGAUUUCUAACUCCUGCUAAAACAGAGGAUCACGAUGGACAGUCCAAAAUAUUAACACCUAAACAAAACUUAGUAAGCCAAUGCUGCAUACGACGGCCUAGGUGAUACAACCAAUUAAACAUUAUGAAAAUAUAAAUAUAGUUUAUCUAUUUAAAAUAUUAAUUAUAUUUAGUUUUAAAAUUAUCAAAUAUUCUAAAAAUAUUACAUAUAAAUUAAACUCAAAAGAAUCAAACUACCGAAUACUUUUUUAUCCGAAGUAAUUAAAAAUAUAACCAAGAACAUUUUAAUCUAAAAUAUCUAAAAUUUAUCCAAAUUAUCUGAUAUUUUAAUUGAAAAAUACAAAAAAACUUUGAUUUACCGAAUUAUCCAAAAUUGCACCAAAAAAACAAACCAAAA